AAAGAACCACAAGGAAGGUAAUACGUACAGAACUUAAAGCAAAGUUUAUAAAACAAAACAAGAAGUCAUGUUUUGUUUAAGUACAAUGAAGAAUAUUAACAUUGAUGUUCUUGCUUUGAUUGUAUACUUUAUGGAAACUAAAUGCUUCAGAUGGCAUGAAAUUUGAAUUGAUCAAUUUUUCUAUUCUACAUGCUGUAAACAAUUUUUGUAAAUAACUAUGUAUUGUAUUUAUUAUGUAAAUAUAUAUUUUAUAUUCUGUUAGAAAUUAAAAUGUUUAUAUCAAAAGAAAUUUACAUUUCACACUUUA